rnacentral:rRNA from 1 species
UACGAGAGGCGCAACGUUAUUCGGAAUUACUGGGCUUAAAGAGUUCGUAGGCGGCGCAGAAAGUAGGGUGUGAAAGCCCUCGGCUCAACCGAGGAAUUGCGCUCUAAACUACUGUGCUUGAGGGACCUAGAGGUGAGCGGAACUGAUGGUGGAGCGGUGAAAUGCGUUGAUAUCAUCAGGAACACCGGGAGGCGAAGGCGGCUCACUGGGGGUCUUCUGACGCUGAGGAACGGAAAGCCAGGGGAGCGAACGGG